CUGGUCUAUCCUGCCAAUAUUCGUAUGCUUGUCACAAAGAUUAAGCCAUGCACAACUAUGUAUACACGAAUUAAAAGUGAUACCGCAAAAGGCUCAUUAUAUUCGUUACGGUCCCUUAGACCUGGAAAACAGUGGUCACUCUAGAGCUAAUACAUGCAAUAUAAACACGAUCCAAAUGAACGUGUGCUUGUAUUUGACUAAAACCAAGCGACGACCAUUUUGUCGUACACCGACGAUAGGUCUUUCAUAUGUCUACCCUACCACCUUUUGAUAGUAGUAUUUGGGACUACCAUGGUUAGAUUCCGCAGAGAAACGGCUACGACAUCUAAGGAAGGCAGCAGGCACAUAACUUACCCACUCCCAGCACGGUGAGGUAGUGACGAAAAAUAACAAUGCACGACUCAUAUACGAGGCCCUGUGCUUGCAAUGAAUAUGCUUGAAAUCCUUUAACAAGGACCUAUUGUAGGCCAAGUCUGGCGCCAACUUAAAAUUUAACGGAAUUGGCGGAAAAG
rnacentral:ncRNA from 1 species